rnacentral:rRNA from 1 species
UACGUAGGGUGCAAGCGUUGCUCGGAAUUAUUGGGCGUAAAGGGUAGGUAGGUGGUCUCAUUUGUCUGGGGUGAAAGCCUUGAGCUUAACUCAAGAAGUGCCCCAGAAACGGUGAGACUCGAGUCCUGGAGAGGGUCGUGGAAUUCCCGGUGUAGCGGUGAAAUGCGCAGAUAUCAGGAGGAACACCGAUGGCGAAGGCAGGUCUCUGAGCCACUACUGACGCUGAGAAGCGAAAGCAUGGGGAGCGAACAGG